CAGCAGCCGCGGGAAAACGUAGGGUGCGAGCGUUAAUCGGAAUUACUAGGCGUAAAGCGUGCGCAGGCGGUUGUGUAAGACAGGUGUGAAAUCCCCGGGCUUAACCUGGGAACUGCGCUUGUGACUGCACAGCUAGAGUAUGGCAGAGGGGGGUGGAAUUCCACGUGUAGCAGUGAAAUGCGUAGAGAUGUGGAGGAACACCGAUGGCGAAGGCAGCCCCCUGGGCCAAUACUGACGCUCAUGCACGAAAGCGUGGGGAGCAAACAGGAUUAGAUACCCCCGUAGUCCCUGUCUCUUAUAC
rnacentral:rRNA from 1 species